rnacentral:tRNA from 1 species
AGUAAAAUCAGCUAACAAAGCUCUUGGGUUCAUACCCCAAAAAUGUGGGUUAAUCUCCCUCUUUUACUA